AGUGAACGCUGGCGGCGUGCUUAACACAUGCAAGUCGAACGAGAACGGGUUAUAGCUUGCUAUAAUUGUCAGCUAAGUGGCGCACGGGUGAGUAAUGUAUAGGUAAUAUGCCUCUUACUAAGGGAUAACAAAUGGAAACGUUUGCUAAUACCUUAUACUCCUUAUUAACAGAAGUUAAUAAGGGAAAGAUUUAUUGGUAAGGGAUUAGCCUGUAUUGUAUCAGUUAGUUGGUGGGGUAAUGGCUUACCAAGACUAUGACACACAACUGGUUUGAGAGGAGGAUCAGUCACACUGGAGCUGAGACACGGUCCAGACUCCUACGCGAGGCAGCAGUGGGGAAUAUUGCACAAUGGACGAAAGUCUGAUGCAGCAACGCCGCGGAGAGGAUGACACAUUUCGGUGCGUAAACUCCUUUUAUAUGAGAAGAUAAUGACGGUAUUAUAUGAAUAAGCACCGGCUAACUCCGUGCCAGCCGCCGCCGUAA
rnacentral:rRNA from 1 species